UUAGAGUUUGAUCCUGGCUCAGGAUGAACGCUGGCGGCGCGCCUAACACAUGCAAGUCGAACGGCACCCCUCUCCGGAGGGAAGCGAGUGGCGAACGGCUGAGUAACACGUGGAGAACCUGCCCCCUCCCCCGGGAUAGCCGCCCGAAAGGACGGGUAAUACCGGAUACCCCCGGGCGCCGCAUGGCGCCCGGGCUAAAGCCCCGACGGGAGGGGAUGGCUCCGCGGCCCAUCAGGUAGACGGCGGGGUGACGGCCCACCGUGCCGACAACGGGUAGCCGGGUUGAGAGACCGACCGGCCAGAUUGGGACUGAGACACGGCCCAGACUCCUACGGGAGGCAGCAGUGGGGAAUCUUGCGCAAUGGGGGGAACCCUGACGCAGCGACGCCGCGUGCGGGACGGAGGCCUUCGGGUCGUAAACCGCUUUCAGCAGGGAAGAGUCAAGACUGUACCUGCAGAAGAAGCCCCGGCUAACUACGUGCCAGCAGCCGCGGUAAUACGUAGGGGGCGAGCGUUAUCCGGAUUCAUUGGGCGUAAAGCGCGCGUAGGCGGCCCGGCAGGCCGGGGGUCGAAGCGGGGGGCUCAACCCCCCGAAGCCCCCGGAACCUCCGCGGCUUGGGUCCGGUAGGGGAGGGUGGAACACCCGGUGUAGCGGUGGAAUGCGCAGAUAUCGGGUGGAACACCGGUGGCGAAGGCGGCCCUCUGGGCCGAGACCGACGCUGAGGCGCGAAAGCUGGGGGAGCGAACAGGAUUAGAUACCCUGGUAGUCCCAGCCGUAAACGAUGGACGCUAGGUGUGGGGGGACGAUCCCCCCGUGCCGCAGCCAACGCAUUAAGCGUCCCGCCUGGGGAGUACGGCCGCAAGGCUAAA
rnacentral:rRNA from 1 species